UGGGGGAAAAGCGGAGGGCAGAGCGAAGGGUUCGAUUUCGUGAGCCAGAGGAAGUCAUUGAACACGUCAUUUCCUGCUGUGACUACGUAGUGGAUGACAGGACAUCAUCUGGAUUGCCUGUGCUCCUGUGGCUCUUGUUUUGUGCAGUGCUGAUCCUUGCUGUGAGUCUC